GAAGCAAAAGGAAACCUUUCCAGUCAUCAGAUAUUGCUGGUGGCUGUGAGGUAGAGAACUGCAUUAUCUCUUCCGGCAAUGGAGGCGGUAACGAAAUACAUGAGGCCUACACGAAAGAAAAUAUUUUGUUGGGGGUUGGGCCUCGAAAAAGUUAAUUUGCCUGCUUUUCUGCCUCAAGUAGACCAAAUAUGGUUUUGAGAUGUUGAGACAGUUGCUAGGGAUCUUCGGACUGACUUCUGUCUUGAAUGGUUCCAGUUUGAUUGGGAGUGUGAAAGCCACAAAUAGUUUCUCCAUUUUUGCCAUCAUUAAUCAGAUUUAAAAAAAAAAAAA